rnacentral:lncRNA from 1 species
AUGGAUUGGGCCAAUGUUCCACCUUUAUUGGAGUCUGAGGACUUAGGUGGAAAAGGCAGAACUGGCUGGUUGGAGGCGCCACCUCCCUGCAAGGGGCCAGGAGGGAGAUUACAGAGGCGCCAAGCCCAGAGCUCCAACAUGCACCUGCCACAGCUCCAGGGGAGAUCGGGGGCCUGCCAAUUUACCCCGCCCCAUGAUCUCAUGGCUGUGUGUGCCAGGCACUGGCUCAGGGAGCAGCAUCUCACAGAGAAGAUACUUGGAUGGGCCACAGGCCAAAACUGGGCCAAAGCCCUGGAGAGGGGGACCUGGCUCAAGGCCACACCACAUUUCCAUGUCAUUUUCCAGUGGCACCAACUGAGCUGGACAGGUGUGUGGCUGGACAAUCCCCACCCAGGAGGCAGGGAAAAUUCCCAGAGUACCAGGUCACUGAGCCGUCUCUGGGGUACGGCUCCCAAGGACUGGCUGGUUCUGGAAUGAUGCCGCUAGGAUGCCAGAUGCCAGCUGCUCCCCCUGCCUGCCCCAGCCUCAAAGAAAGCCUUGUCCCUCCCAGACCAUCACAUACUCCCCGCUCUUGGAAGCCUUCCCUGGCCAACCCCACCCAACUUUUACCACUUACUAUACCACUUACUUCGCGUCCCCUCGGCACUUAGAUCCCAAGUUACCCUGUACUCAUUUGCCCUUAUUUAUGUAUUACUUUUCAGAUGUUCUCACAGAGCUACACAUGCCACAAUCAUCACUAGUUGUGAGAGUCUCCAGUGUUCAUUAAGCCUAUUUUGCUGGAAGUUUAGUCCCUGGAGGAUUAGUCCCUGCCCUUAAGGAGUGCCAAAGAAGACUUUGGAAUCUAAGUCACAUCUCCCCUGCUGCAAUUUUUUCCUCUUGAUAAUCAAGGAAUCUCACUGAUAAAACUCUCAACGAGGAGCAGCUCUCCCCAUGAGCAAGUUCUUGCCUUCAUUGCCAGGGAGGCCCCAGCUAAGGGUAUACUGGGAAAGGAAUCUCUGGGGAGUACCUGGAAGAGGUCAGCUUCUCCUCAAAGGAAGCCUCUCCAGCUGGUGUACUGCAAAGCCUUCCAAGACCAAGUUCCCUCUUCCUGGCCUCUGGAACCAGCCUGUGUGCCAGCGCUGUGUCCCCAGUAACACACAUGAGUCUCUCCCUCAGAAGCCACAGAACGAUGCAGAGAGAGACCAACCCAGGAUUGAUUCUCAGCACUUACUAAUUGUGUGGACAUAACUGCUCUGGACCUCAGCCUUGCUGUCUAUAAAAUGAGCACCGUUUUUAUAGAUAUGAACACUUUAAGAGAGUCAUAAAGAUUGAAGUUGAUCUGUGCUGCACCUGGCACAGAGGCCUCCCUCAGUAAAUGGCAGCCAC